CGAUCUUAGUAUUUCCAUCUUUGCGUCAGAAUGGAGAGUCCCUGGAGCUGUGACAUCAUCGUUGCGCCCCACCUUGUCCUUAGGCCCUAAACUGGCCCUGGAGCACAGUGGGUGUCCAGUGGCGGUGUGCUGAAUGUAUAGAAUCAGAGAAGGUUCUGCUCUUCCUUUGAUCAUGGCGGAUGACUAUAAGAGCUUGGAAAGCAGGCUGACCCAGGACCAAGAGUUUUGAAGGAGACGAGGGAAGACCUUGUUUCUCUCAGGAUCUGCCUUCAACAAAC